rnacentral:rRNA from 1 species
AUACGUAGGGGACGAGCGUUGUCCGGAAUUACUGGGCGUAAAGGGCGCGCAGGCGGAUAUUUAAGUCAGCUGUAAAAGGCCUGAGCUCAACUCAUGUAUGCGGUUGAAACUGGGUAUCUAGAGUGCUGGAGAGGUAGGCGGAAUUCCCGGGGUAGCGGUGAAAUGCGUAGAUAUCGGGAAGAACACCAGUGGCGAAGGCGGCUUACUGGCCAGCAACUGACGCUGAGGCGCGAAAGCCAGGGGAGCGAACGGGAUUAGAUACCCCGGUAGUCCUGGCUGUAAACGAUGAAUGCUAGGUGUGGGUGUCGAGAGGCAUCCGUGCCGGAGUUAACGCGAUAAGCAUUCCGCCUGGGGAGUACGAUCGCAAGAUUGAAACUCAAAUGAAUUGGCGGGG